rnacentral:rRNA from 1 species
ACGCCUAACACAUGCAAGUCGAACGAAGUAGCAAUACUUAGUGGCAGACGGGUGAGUAACAUGUGGGUAUCUACCCUUUGGCCUGGAAUAACACGAGGAAACUUGUGCUAAUACUGGAUAAGUCUUUACGGAGAAAGCUUUAUGCACCAUUGGAUGAGCCUGCACUUGAUUAGUUUGUUGGUGGGGUAAUGGCCUACCAAGACUUUGAUCAAUAGCUGAUUUGAGAGGAUGAUCAGCCACAUUGGGACUGAGACACGGCCCAAACUCCUACGGGAGGCAGCAGUGGGGAAUCUUGCACAAUGGAGGAAACUCUGAUGCAGCGAUGCCGCGUGAGUGAAGAAGGCCUUUGGGUUGUAAAGCUCUUUCGUCGGGGAAGAAAAUGACUGUACCCGAAUAAGAAGGUCCGGCUAACUUCGUGCCAGCAGCCGCGGUAAUACGAAGGGACCUAGCGUAGUUCGGAAUUACUGGGCUUAAAGAGUUCGUAGGUGGUUGAAAAAGUUGGUGGUGAAAUCCCAGAGCUUAACUCUGGAACUGCCAUCAAAACUUUUCAGCUAGAGUUUGAUAGAGGAAAGCAGAAUUUCUAGUGUAGAGGUGAAAUUCGUAGAUAUUAGAAAGAAUACCAAUUGCGAAGGCAGCUUUCUGGAUCAUUACUGACACUGAGGAACGAAAGCAUGGGUAGCGAAGAGGAUUAGAUACCCUCGUAGUCCAUGCCGUAAACGAUGUGUGUUAGACGUUGGAAAUUUAUUUUCAGUGUCGCAGCGAAAGCGAUAAACACACCGCCUGGGGAGUACGACC